AGAGUUUGAUCCUGGCUCAGAUUGAACGCUGGCGACGUGCUUAACACAUGCAAGUCGUGCGAGAAAGGAGACUUCGGUCUCUGAGUAGAGCGGCGCACGGGUGAGUAACGCGUGGAUGAUCUACCCUUGAGUUCGGGAUAACGGUGCGAAAGCGCCGCUAAUACCGUAUAAUAAUCCAUUUCAUCGUGGGUUCAAAGCAGGCCUCUUCAUGAAAGCUUGCGCUUGGGGAUGAGUCCGCGUCCCAUUAGCUUGUUGGCGGGGUAACGGCCCACCAAGGCUACGAUGGGUAGCUGGUCUGAGAGGAUGAUCAGCCACACUGGAACUGAAACACGGUCCAGACUCCUACGGGAGGCAGCAGUGGGGAAUAUUGCGCAAUGGGGGAAACCCUGACGCAGCGACGUCGUGUGAGGGAAGAAGGCCUUCGGGUCGUAAACCUCUGUCAGAAGGGAAGAACAUCCGGGAGUCGAACAGCCUCCCGGCCUGACGGUACCUUCAGAGGAAGCGCCGGCUAACUCCGUGCCAGCAGCCGCGGUAAUACGGAGGGCGCAAGCGUUAAUCGGAAUCACUGGGCGUAAAGCGUGCGUAGGCUGCUUGAUAAGUCAGACGUGAAAUCCCUCGGCUCAACCGGGGAACUGCGUUUGAUACUGUCGAGCUAGAGUCCUGGAGAGGGUGGCGGAAUUCCUGGUGUAGGAGUGAAAUCCGUAGAUAUCAGGAGGAACACCGGUGGCGAAGGCGGCCACCUGGACAGGUACUGACGCUGAGGUACGAAAGCGUGGGGAGCAAACAGGAUUAGAUACCCUGGUAGUC
rnacentral:rRNA from 1 species